AUAAUAGAGGCGCAGGUAAAAUCAUUACCGUUUCUGAGGCUCUCAAAGGCCUGUGAAGAAAAGGGAAAGGGUUAUCUGCCGAAGCUGAAGGCAGUUUGAGGUGCCGGAUGCUGGGCGUCGGGAGAAGAUCCUGACGACUGUCGCAGAAAUGCGGAGUGCUAUUGU
rnacentral:ncRNA from 1 species